rnacentral:rRNA from 1 species
AGUUUGAUCCUGGCUCAGGAUGAACGCUAGCUACAGGCUUAACACAUGCAAGUCGAGGGGAAACGAUAUUGGAAGCUUGCUUCCGAUAGGCGUCGACCGGCGCACGGGUGAGUAACGCGUAUCCAACCUGCCCAUCACUUGGGGAUAACCUUGCGAAAGUAAGACUAAUACCCAAUGAUAUCUCUAGAAGACAUCUGAAGGAGAUUAAAGAUUUAUCGGUGAUGGAUGGGGAUGCGUCUGAUUAGCUUGUUGGCGGGGUAACGGCCCACCAAGGCGACGAUCAGUAGGGGUUCUGAGAGGAAGGUCCCCCACAUUGGAACUGAGACACGGUCCAAACUCCUACGGGAGGCAGCAGUGAGGAAUAUUGGUCAAUGGGCGAGAGCCUGAACCAGCCAAGUAGCGUGCAGGAUGACGGCCCUAUGGGUUGUAAACUGCUUUUAUAAGGGAAUAAAGUGAGUCUCGUGAGACUUUUUGCAUGUACCUUAUGAAUAAGGACCGGCUAAUUCCGUGCCAGCAGCCGCGGUAAUACGGAAGGUCCGGGCGUUAUCCGGAUUUAUUGGGUUUAAAGGGAGCGUAGGCCGGAGAUUAAGCGUGUUGUGAAAUGUAGACGCUCAACGUCUGCACUGCAGCGCGAACUGGUUUCCUUGAGUACGCACAAAGUGGGCGGAAUUCGUGGUGUAGCGGUGAAAUGCUUAGAUAUCACGAAGAACUCCGAUUGCGAAGGCAGCUCACUGGAGCGCAACUGACGCUGAAGCUCGAAAGUGCGGGUAUCGAACAGGAUUAGAUACCCUGGUAGUCCGCACGGUAAACGAUGGAUGCCCGCUGUUGGUCUGAAUAGGUCAGCGGCCAAGCGAAAGCAUUAAGCAUCCCACCUGGGGAGUACGCCGGCAACGGUGAAACUCAAAGGAAUUGACGGAAGGGCG